GGGGAAUCUUGCGCAAUGGGCGAAAGCCUGACGCAGCAACGCCGCGUGCGGGAAGAAGGCUCUCGGGUUGUAAACCGCUUUCAGCAGGAACGAAAAUGACGGUACUUGCAGAAGAAGGUGCGGCCAACUACGUGCCAGCAGCCGCGGUGACACGUAGGCACCAAGCGUUGUCCGGAUUUAUUGGGCGUAAAGAGCUCGUAGGCGGUUCGGUAAGUCGGGUGUGAAAACUUGGGGCUUAACCCCAAGCCUGCAUCCGAUACUGCUGUGACUAGAGUUCGGUAGGGGAGCGGGGAAUUCCUAGUGUAGCGGUGAAAUGCGCAGAUAUUAGGAGGAACACCGGUGGCGAAGGCGCCGCUCUGGGCCGAUACUGACGCUGAGGAGCGAAAGCGUGGGUAGCAAAC
rnacentral:rRNA from 1 species